GACGAACGCUGGCGGCGUGCUUAACACAUGCAAGUCGAGCCGGUAAGGCCCUUUCGGGGGUACACGAGCGGCGAACGGGUGAGUAACACGUGGGUGACCUGCCCUCAGCUCUGGGAUAAGCCUGGGAAACCGGGUCUAAUACCGGAUAUGACUCCAUGACGCAUGUUGUGGGGUGGAAAGCCUUGUGCGGCUGAGGAUGGGCCCGCGGCCUAUCAGCUUGUUGGUGGGGUGAUGGCCUACCAAGGCGACGACGGGUAGCCGGCCUGAGAGGGCGACCGGCCACACUGGGACUGAGACACGGGCCCAGACUCCUACGGGAGGCAGCAGUGGGGAAUCUUGCGCAAUGGGCGAAAGCCUGACGCAGCGACGCCGCGUGAGGGAUGACGGCC
rnacentral:rRNA from 1 species